AUGCUUAAAAUUGUUGAUUGGCUCUAGUUUUCAAGAUAUGCUAUUGUGUCAGUAUAUACGACCCUUGACUUGGGAAUGGUGGAGGAUAAGUGAGUUAAAAAGGGAAGGGAUCUCAAUUUAAACCAGAAAUGACUAAAAUAGAUCUUUGACUGGAUCUAUGAAUAAAUCUAUGACUGGGUUUGGACAGUACUUGCUUUUUAGGCAAAACAAUGAAUGAUGCAAACAUUCCAUCAGCUAUAUGCCCAGUACCCCACAGAGAAGGACUGCCGGUUCCUGAUGCACCAGAAUCAUUCUCACUUGAGUCAGGUGAGGAAGAGGAAGAGGAUGAAACUUCUGGUCCUGAACCAUCAAUGUCACAGGACCCACAUUUUCUCCCAUCCUCCUCCUCUGAUCCACACCUCAUAACACAAGGUGAACUAAAUGACCUUGUCAGGGAUUUGGAACUACCCAAGAGUAAGGCAGAGCUGUUGGGCUCCAGACUACAGCAGUGGAAUCUCCUGGCAGGUGAUGUUAGGGUUUCCAUGUUCCGUGACCAUCAAAAGGAUCUUGUCCCAUUCUUCUUCAUGGAAGGUGAUCUUGUAGCCUGCAACAACAUCGAUGGUGUGAUGGCAGCCCUCAACAUCGUUCACAAUCCAGAUGAGUGGAGACUGUUCAUUGAUUCAUCGAAGACGAGUCUUAAAGCUGUUUUACUACAUAAUGGCAAUGUUUUGCCAUCAAUUCCAGUUGGUCAUGCAGUCCAUAUGAAGGAAACCUAUGACAACAUAAAACAACUUUUGAGGUGCAUAAACUAUGACCAACAUCAGUGGCAGCUUUGUGGCGAUUUGAAGGUUGUUGCUCUCUUGCUUGGACUGCAGACUGGAUACACAAAGUACUGCUGUUUUCUCUGCGAAUGGGAUAGUCGUGCAAGAGAUUCCCACUACAUCAAGAAAGAUUGGCCACUCCGACAGUCAUUGGAGCCUGGGAGGAAAAGUCUUCAGCAUCCACCACUUGUUGAAUCAAGGAAGAUUUUGUUAUCACUCUUACACAUCAAGCUGGGUCUGAUGAAGAACAUUGUCAAGGCCAUUGACAAAACACAAGCAGCUUUCAAGUACCUCCAUGGAAAAUUUCCAAGGUUAAGUGAAGCUAAGAUAAAGGAAGGUGUCUUUGUUGGUCCUCAGAUUCAUGAACUUCUUCGAGAUGAUGCCUUUGACCAUGCACUGCGUGGCAAGGAAAAGACGGUAUGGAAAGCCUUCCAGUUAGUGGCAAUAAAUUUUCUCGGAAACAACAAGGCAGACAACUACACGUUGUUGGUGGAAAACCUCCUCAAGGCAUACAAAAGCCUUGGUUGCAACAUAAACAUGUCACUAAAGAAAUUUUUUGCACUUUCGUCUAGAUUUUUUUCCACCGAAGUGCGGAGCAGUGAGCGACGAGCACAGCGAGCGUAAGGGAGCAUUGCACAACUUUAAAGGAGCAUGUUCCCUAAUUGAGCAGGGAGG
rnacentral:lncRNA from 1 species